CCUACGGGAGGCAGCAGUAGGGAAUAUUGCUCAAUGGGCGAAACCCUGAAGCAGCAACGCCGCGUGAAGGAUGAAGGUCUUCGGAUUGUAAACCCCUUUUGUUAGAGAAGAUCAUGCCGGUAUCUAACGAAUAAGCACCGGCUAACACCGUGCCAGCAGCCGCGGUAAUACGGAGGGUGCGCGCGUUACUCGGAAUCACUGGGCGUAAAGCGCGCGUAGGCGGGAUAGCAAGUCAGAUGUGAAAUCCUAUGGCUUAACCAUAGAACUGCAUUUGAAACUGGUAUUCUGGAGUGUGGGAGAGGUAGGUGGAAGUCAUGGUGUAGGGGUAAAAUCCGUAGAGAUCAAGAGGAAUA
rnacentral:rRNA from 1 species